rnacentral:rRNA from 1 species
UACGUAGGAUGCAAGCGUUAUCCGGAAUCAUUGGGCGUAAAGCGUUCGUAGGCUGUUUAUUAAGUUGGGGGUGAAAUUUCUGGGCUCAACUCAGAAACUGUUCCCAAAACUGAUAGACUUGAGUAAGGUAGAGGCUGAUGGAAUUCUGCAAGUAGGGGUAAAAUCCGUUGAUCUGCAGAGGAACACCAAAAGCGAAGGCAAUCAGCUGGGCCUUUACUGACGCUGAGGAACGAAAGCGUGGGGAGCGAACGGGAUUAGAUACCCUCGUA